GAUGAACGCUAGCGGCAGGCUUAAUACAUGCAAGUCGAGGGACAGCACAGGUAGCAAUACUGGGUGGUAACCGGCAAACGGGUGCGGAACACGUACACAACCUUCCUUUAAGUGGGGGAUAGCCCAGAGAAAUUUGGAUUAAUACCCCGUAAUAUAGUUUGAUGGCAUCAUCGGACUAUUAUAGCUACGGCGCUUAAUGAUGGGUGUGCGGCUGAUUAGAUAGUUGGCGGGGUAACGGCCCACCAAGUCUACGAUCAGUAGCUGAUGUGAGAGCAUGAUCAGCCACACGGGCACUGAGACACGGGCCCGACUCCUACGGGAGGCAGCAGUAAGGAAUAUUGGUCAAUGGACGCAGUCUGAACCAGCCAUGCCGCGUGAAGGAUUAAGGUCCUCUGGAUUGUAAACUUCUUUUAUUUGGGACGAAAAAGGGUCUUUCUAGACCAACUGACGGUACCAGAUGAAUAAGCACCGGGUAACUCCGUGCCAGCAGCCGCAGUAAAAC
rnacentral:rRNA from 1 species